UGCCAGCCGCCGCGGUAAUACGUAGGGUGCAAGCGUUGUUCGGAAUUAUUGGGCGUAAAGAGCGUGUAGGCGGCUUAUUAAGUCUGAUGUGAAAGCCCAGGGCUUAACCCUGGAAGUGCAUUGGAUACUGGUAAGCUAGAGGACGAGAGAGGAUGGUGGAAUUCCUGGUGUAGGGGUGAAAUCCGUAGAUAUCAGGAGGAAUACCGGAGGCGAAGGCGGCCAUCUGGCUCGUUUCUGACGCUGAGACGCGAAAGCGUGGGUAGCAAACAGGAUUAGAUA
rnacentral:rRNA from 1 species